rnacentral:rRNA from 1 species
UACGGAGGGGGCUAGCGUUGCUCGGAAUCACUGGGCGUAAAGCGCACGUAGGCGGAUUGCUAAGUCAGGGGUGAAAUCCUGGAGCUCAACUCCAGAACUGCCUUUGAUACUGAAAGUCUUGAGUAUGGGAGAGGUGAGUGGAACUGCGAGUGUAGAGGUGAAAUUCGUAGAUAUUCGCAAGAACACCAGUGGCGAAGGCGGCUCACUGGCCCAUAACUGACGCUGAGGCACGAAAGCGUGGGGAGCAAACAGG